GGUCCUGUGGCGCAAAGGUAGCGCAUCUGACUCCAGAUCAGGAGGUUGUCCGUUCGAAUCGGGUCGGGGUCA
rfam:Perkinsus marinus ATCC 50983 gcontig_1104296711996, whole genome shotgun sequence.